GACGAACGCUGGCGGCGUGCUUAACACAUGCAAGUCGAACGAUGACGACCGAGCUUGCUCGGUCUGAUUAGUGGCGAACGGGUGAGUAACACGUGAGCAACCUGCCCUUCACUCUGGGAUAACCUCGGGAAAUCGGGGCUAAUACCGGAUAUGAGCUCCUGUCGCAUGGUGGGUGUUGGAAAGUUUUUCGGUGAAGGAUGGGCUCGCGGCCUAUCAGUUUGUUGGUGGGGUAGUGGCUCACCAAGGCGAUGACGGGUAGCCGGCCUGAGAGGGCGACCGGCCACACUGGGACUGAGACACGGCCCAGACUCCUACGGGAGGCAGCAGUGGGGAAUAUUGCACAAUGGGCGGAAGCCUGAUGCAGCGACGCCGCGUGAGGGAUGACGGCCUUCGGGUUGUAAACCUCUUUCGGCAGGGAAGAAGCGAAAGUGACGGUACCUGCAGAAGAAGCGCCGGCUAACUACGUG
rnacentral:rRNA from 1 species